GGUGAAAAACAAAGGAUAGGGAUUUCUAAAGUGCACUUUCUGUCUUUGAAGACUCAUAAAAAACAGCUCAUACCUUAGGAACAUUAUGACAAAGUUUUAGUGGUUUUGAAACCGUGACUUUUUCAAACCAUGGUACAUCUUGAAACCGGUAACCGGCCUAUGCCUACUCCCUACCAUAUAUCUCCCUCACUAUCAUAUCAAA